rnacentral:rRNA from 1 species
AUGGAGUUUACAAGCAACCAUGUCGAAUAUCCAUGGGAAGCACUGUUGUCGGUUCGUUCAUUCAGUUCAAUCCACACCGGCGGUGUCCUGAGAGCACGGCUCCGACGCAAAGGACAGCUUGGCGUCUUUGAGGUCGUACACGAACCUUGUGUCCACCUGCUGCAGCGCGCCGAUGACCGUCCGCUCGCCCGGACUCAUGGCAAGGCACAGGGCGGCCCCGUGGAGCUUGCUCUCCACCACCGUGAACAGCUGCUCCGGCUUGACGACCAGCCUCGCCGUCUCCUCCGCGAAGUGGAAGGACAGCGACUGGAGGUGCCGCUUGAUCUCCGCGGUCUUGCGGACGCACAGCCCGUAGCCCUGCCGCUGCACGCGCUCCGCCCUGUUCCGCUGCAGGUCACUCCACAUGGCCUCCUCCACGACGCGGUACGCCUCCCGGGCCAGCACCGUCAGGGGCGUGCCGGGGUCGAUCACGCACCCGCCCUGCCCGCCGCGCCGCCGGGCGAACAUCUCCGGCCUGAUCCCCGUCAGCCUCUUCGCGUCCAGGCUGAUGCCCACGAGGCUCACGUAGUACUGCGACUCGUGCGCGUCCAGCGCCGGGAGGAUCUUGGUCGUUCGGAGGCCCGGCCGUCUCGGCACGUCGGCGCCGAACCGGAGGAAGCCAUGCCGGCUCGCUCCGCCGGAGAAGAGGCAGUACGAGAACUGCGUCUGCCCGCGCGCCGCCACCUGCAUGACGAGCGAGGUAGGCAUCUUACCCAUGGCGGCGACGCCCGCGAAGGUGCGCUGGCUGUUGAAGUGCUCGGCCGAGUGCGCGCACCCGAAGACGAACUCCUUCAUGGACUCUGGCCCCAUGGUGAGGUUCUCCAAGGCCACGAAGCCGUGGACCGACAUGCCGUGCUCGCCGGACAGGUGGAAGGCGCACUGCUGCCCCGCGGGCUCCAUGGGGUACGGCGGGUGGCAGAUCUGGCUCGUGCCGGCGACCUGCUGGAAGGUGGACGAGGCCUUGGGGUCGAACAGGGGGCCGCGCUGUGGCUGCUUCGGAUUGCAGGGCUUGCACUGCAGCCACAUCAGGCUACCCGAGGCGUCGAGCUUGAGGUUGUGGUCGUGCCGGCCUUUGCCCGAGCCCAAGCCAACGACCACGCUGAAGGCCAUAUCGAUUGGCGAGGCCACUGGUGGGCGGAGGGUGGUGACGUUCGCCUCCGAUGGAAGAAGGUCGUCCAGCCGGCUCUGGACUUGGAGGAAGCCGUCGUCGCGCAGCGCAUAGUCAUGGUGCGCCACCAGCCGGAAGCUCGAGCCAGCGCCCGAGCUAGCCAUGGCGACUUUUGGGCUGCCCGCAUCAGCACCGGCAGGCGGUAUCAGGUGGGUCAUGAUGAGCGCCAUCAGGAACACGACGCAUUGGAGAGUGUUCUUGAUCGCCAUGGCCAUCGACGUGCCAAGUGUGGGCUGUGGUAUCUUUUUAAUAAUAUGAGUCGUAUGCAUCUUUCUGAUGUAAAGGCUGGGGUAAACUCCUUUUUGAGAAAAAAAAGUGUGGAUUGUGGUCGCUUUAUUCUACCUUGGAUGGUGGGAUAUAUCACCUAUAUAUAG